rnacentral:lncRNA from 1 species
CAACGAUUGGAUCCAGAUGACAUGGCCUUGGCUCCCCCUUUAUAAUUUCCCAGGUCCUUAGAGAAGCUUGGGGAAUCUUUAGGCAACUUCCUGUAGUUGGGUUGGUCCAAUGAUAUGAAUGUCUUACCCACUGAUGGCUAGUGGAAUAAGCCACUCUCUUACAAUGACUAGUGGAAAGUCCCAGGAAGCUUUCAGCUUCGGGUAACAUCAGUUGGGUAAUCAUUGCCAGCUUGGAGAAUGAGUGGUGGCCUUAACUACUUUGGCACCAGCCCUCAUGAGAAAAUACUAUGAGAAAAUACUGUGGAAGGUAUCUUUAUCAAUUGGAUAAGAAAUCUUCCACCCUUUCAGAAGCUGACUUCCAUCUUAUACUCACAAUUGAAUUCUUCUGCAACAAUUUUUGGUACCUCAGCAGAUUACAUGUGCUGUCAUGUAUGAACUGCCCUCUGAAGCAUGAGAACCAGGGAACAACUGUAAUCCAGACCAUGGGAAAUCCUUGUUUCAAAUGCACUGCAGAGAUCAGACGACCGGGAGAUUAAGUUUUGACUGGAGCUCCAGCCUUAAAUAAGAACAUAUUGCCAGCGUGUUUAUGCGAAAGUCAGUGGAAAUUUGGAGACAGAGGAUGGACACAAACCCUGGCUCUGUCGUUCAUUGACUGUGUGACCUUAGGCAAGUCAAGGAAUCUUUCUGGGUCUCAGUUUCCCCAUCUGUAAAGUGAGAAGGGUGCAGGAAAUGGACCCCAAAAUCCCAUCCAGCAUUAAAUCUGUGGUCUAUGGACAGAUCUAGGACUUCUUCUUUUCUCCAUCAUUCAUUCCCCAUCCUCAACCUUAGUCCCAACUUUCAGACCUUGAGUUUUACUCAUGGUCUUCCUCUUCUCACCUUCAGUAUAUCAACUGCUAACAGUCAGGCUAUGAUUGCCUCUAGCAAGGUGAAGUGAUUGGCCUCCAACCACAAUCUUCAAUUCAACUCAAUUAAAUUCAACCAGCACCUACCUUAUUGACUCUCAGAACUGUGCUAGGUGCUGAGGAUACAACAACAAAAGUCCCUGCCCUCAAGGAGCUUACAUUUUAACUGGAGUAAUAUACACACCACAACACACACACGCACACACAUACAUAUGCCA